UACGUAGGGGGCAAGCGUUUGCCGGGAUUAUUGGGCGUAAAGAGCGGGUAGGCGGUCCGGUAAGUCAGCUGGGAAAGUCAAGGGCUCAACCCUUGAAUGCCGGUUGAUACUGUCGGGCUAGAGUCCGGAAGAGGCGAGUGGAAUUCCCGGUGUAGCGGUGAAAUGCGCAGAUAUCGGGAGGAACACCAAUGGCGAAGGCAGCUCGCUGGGACGGUACUGACGCUGAGACGCGAAAGCGUGGGGAGCGAACAGG
rnacentral:rRNA from 1 species